CCUACGGGCGGCAGCAGUGAGGAAUAUUGGUCAAUGGCCGGAAGGCUGAACCAGCCAUGCCGCGUGAAGGUCAGUGCCCUAUGGGCGUUAAACUUCUUUUGUGCGGGAGCAAUAAUGGUCACGUGUGGCCAGACGAGAGUACCGUACGAAUAAGCAUCGGCUAACUCCGUGCCAGCAGCCGCGGGAAUACGGGGGAUGCAAGCGUUUUACGGAUUUUUUGGGUUUAAAGGGUGCGUAGGGUGUGAGGUAAGUCAGCGGGGAAAUGACCCCGCUCAACGGGGUGAAGUGCCAUUGAUACUGCCGUGCUGGAAUGCGGAUGCCGUGAGAGGAAUGUGUGGUGUAGCGGUGAAAUGCAUAGAUAUCACACAGAACACCGAUUGCGAAGGCAUCUCACGGAUCCGCGAUUGACGCUGAUGCACGAAAGCGUGGGUAUCAAACAGGAUUAGAUACCCGUGUAGUC
rnacentral:rRNA from 1 species